rnacentral:rRNA from 1 species
UCGAGAAUUUUUCUCAAUGGACGAAAGUCUGAAGGAGCGACGCCGCGUGGGGGAUGAAGGGCUUCGGCCCGUAAACCCCUGUCAUUUGUGAACAAACCUCUUCGGUUAACAACCGGAGAGCUGAUAGUAACAGAAGAGGAAGGGACGGCUAACUCUGUGCCAGCAGCCGCGGUAAUACAGAGGUCCCAAGCGUUGUUCGGAUUUACUGGGCGUAAAGGGUGCGUAGGUGGCAGGGUAAGUUUGAUGUGAAAGCUCCGGGCUUAACCCGGAAAUGGCAUUGAAUACUAUCCCGCUAGAGGGUUGGAGGGGAGACUGGAAUUCUCGGUGUAGCAGUGAAAUGCGUAGAUAUCGAGAGGAACACCAGUGGCGAAGGCGAGUCUCUGGACAACUCCUGACACUGAGGCACGAAAGCUAGGGGAGCAAACA